GCAACUGUGGCUCAGAUCUCAUCCCUGGCCUGGGAAUGCCAUAUACUGCUGGGUGGUCAAAGAAGAAGAAGAAGAAAAAACAGGAGUGAUCCCUCUGCAUCCCCUGUGUUCAUUUAGGACGUGUCAGGCUGAACCCCAUUUCCUCUUUUGCUUGUGGUCUGAUGGUGCAAGGGGAAAGCAUAGAUCUGUAAUGCCAACAGUUUGGCUGUGGACUCUGGACAGUGCUGUGACUGGACCCUAUCUUGCCUUUUCUCUAACUGUUCCAUGUGGGUCUUACUUCUCUGGCAGGACUGCCAGCUAUGCUGGGGUGGAGGUAAUCUCUGGGACCUCCUUGUGACCCACUGUUCCUGCCACAGCCUUGGGCUAUGCAUACUGGAGAUGUGCUAUAGGUUUGUUGAAUUGGGUGUGGAUUUUCUGAAGAUCAAGGCCAGGGGUCCUAGCAAGAGCUGUGUAGUAUAAAGAAGGGUUAGUGCACUUGGAACCUGAAAUGGUGGGUUCAGAUCCCACCUGGUUCCCUUACCAGGCACCUGGGCAGCUCUUGUUGCCUCUCUGAGCUUUACUGUCCUUUUCUGACUAAUAGAGAUGUUAAAUGAUAUACACAGGGGUGUGAAAAUGAAAGGAGGUGGGUCAUAGGAAUAAAAAUGUGUUUUGAGCCCUUCUCUACCCAGUAUUCUGUGAUAAUCUGUGUGGGAAAAGAUUCUGAGAGAGAAUGGAUAUAUGUAUAUGUAUGACUGGGUCACUUUGUUGUACAGCAGAAAUUAUCACCACCUUGUAAAUUAACUAUACUUCAGUAAAACUUUAAAAAAUAUAUUUGAGCCCUUAACAGUGCCAGGCACUGUGCUAAGCACCCCUCCUCCCAUUCCUGCACUUAACCAGCACAACCCUAUGAGACAGAGUCUGUUGUUAUUUCUACUUUACAGACUAGAAAACUGGAUCUCAGAAAGGGAGUGAAGCUUGCAUCAUCGCUAAGAGCUAUGGACAGAGCUGAGAUUUAAAUCCAGAAGAGCCUGCUUGUAGAGGCGACUGGAAUGGUCUAGCACAGUGGUUCUCAAGCACUGGAAUCCCCUGGAGGGCUUGUUAAAACACAGAUCUCAGCAGGGCCCCUACACCAGAGUUUUCAACCCACUAGCUCUGGGAGAGGCCUGAAUAUCUGCAUUCCUAACAAGUUUCCAAGUGAUGUAAUGCCACUUGCAGGACUUGGUCUAGAAUGACUGCUGUAGGACCAUUUUCUAACCUUACUGUUCUAGAAAAAAUAGUAGGUACAGAGGAGAGGGCGGUUAAAAAAAAAAAAAAAAGACCACACCUUGAGUUGGUAGGCCAAGUAGUGUAGUCGCAUGAACGUGCCCACGAUGUCUCAGGUUUGCGUUCUGAUCUUGACUUCACGUGCGUGCGGAGUUAAUUGAGAAGCAUAGACCCAAGGGGAACUGCUUAAGCACCUGGUACUCUUCACUCUCCGAUGCCCGGGUCCAGACUUCUGCUCCCUGGGUCCGCCCUCGUGCUGCCAGGGCAUGCCUCUCCAUCCCUGCUCUCUCGAGGUCCAGUCCAGCCCGGCAAGCGUUGCCAUGGCAGCGCCACCGCCAGGGAUGUGGGAGGCAGAGCGCGCUCGCCCCUUUGUGCCUCUGGGGUGGAGGUGCACUCCCCCCACACCCGGCCGCGCUCCACCUCCCAGGCCCCGACCUCGGGCAGCUACAAAGACGACGACGCGCUCGGGGGACCAGAGGGAGGGAGGCUGCGGACGAGUGCGGGGAGGAGUUUGCGAUGGGAGGCGCUUGCAGGGGCUCCCCCAGUUCUGCACUGUGAGCCCGGGCACAAAGAGCCCUCUGCACUGGCGCCGCAGGACCGAGGACCAGGACCCGAGCUGGAGGUAUGUUCCCGCCUACCCAUGUCAUUCCAGACAUGUUCACCUGGCCGCCAUGACCCUAACGGCAUCAAAGGAGCAACCAAGAGUUCAGCAAGUUCCUGGGACAGAAGAGAAAGAAGGGAGUUUCUGGCAUCUUGGAGAUGCUCACCAUUGCACUGGAAAGGAGCCUUGCAGAUAAGUAUUCAAACUUACCAGCCCAUAGCCUACCAGCCUGCCCUCUGCUGGUCUGUGCAGGAAAGUACAAUAUCCCAGAAUUCUCAAGGGGAAGAGAAAUCCAUGCAGCAGCUCAUUCACUUUCCCACCUCUACGCCACAAACAAAGCUUGUCCCUGAUUUACGGGGCCCCCAGAAAUAAUUUUCCUACCCCUUUUGGCAUCAAGGUUAGUAUUCUAUAAACUCCACCAUCAGGAGCUUCUGAGCUGAGUUUAAUGACCUUACCUUGAGCACCUGUAGAUGUGGAGUCAGAAGACUCCUUGAGAUGGGCUGGCCCUUUCCUCCUGAGUUCUGAUCCUCUAUCAUCAUAUUGAUACAGCUUGGCUAGGGCUCUUUUGCCUGGCAGUCAAGCAGGGACUUCAGCACUGUGGCCCCAGGGCACAUACUUCACAGGGUGAGGGUCCAAGUACAUCUCUAGCCCUGGACCCAUGCCUCAAGCUGAGGUACUGGCAGCAAGCUCAGAAAACAUACUGAGAGGGCCCCUGACUCUCCUGGCCCAGGUCUGCCAGUUGAUGGCCAUCACGAAAAGCAAAACCUGGGAGAUGGUCUUUGGUUAGGAUUCGUGGGCAUUCUCUGGGCUUCUCCAGACUUGUGACAUGGGGACUGCCUGCCAUCGGGUCCCCAAGCUUUUCCUGAUGCCUCAGAAGAGAAAGUGGAAGAGGAGGGCGGGUGCGGGAAGAUACCUGAGGUUGGGCAGAAGGGCCCCUUCUACGUCCCAUCCACUGCCUCCAGCUACAGGUUAUGACUGUACGCUUUGGGUGGAAGUCUGGACUGGAAAGGCCCUGCCUCCCAGAGAGACUUCCCACGGCAGCACGGGAGGCAGAGCUGGGAUUGGACUCUGGGUCCCCAGCUCUUGUCUGAUGCUCUCGUUCAAGCUGUCAUCCAGCUGAGUUUGCCUUGCUGUCUCUUGGGUGGGUCACGUUCUACCAUCGAUGGGGACAGGGAACCAAGGAUGUUCUGGGGCAGGAGGAAGGGUGGUGGGGGCAGAGUGCCUGGGCCCACCCUCCCUUGCUCCCAGGCCUUCCUGUUAGUAGAAAGUUCUGGCCUGGGCUGGGUGGGGAGGGGGCCUGGGUAUGGUUUUCUCCUGCGCUGUGUUUGGAUCCUUUGUCUUCCAGGAUGGGCCUCUGGGGUCUGCGUAGGGUAGGAGCCUGGGCUGCCAGCAUUUUGGCUGGGUGCUGUCAGCACAAGUAUGGACCACGUGACUUCUCCAGGAUGAUGCUGAGGAACCAGAGGUCAAGACGAGGUGUGGUCCCGCCCUCUCAGAUCUUCAUGCUUCUUGGCCCCGCAGCAUCUCCAGGACACCCAGUCUGGUCUUCUGGAGAGCCUGGGUGACCCUGGGCACAGUGACACAGGGAGCAGCCGCCGGUGGUUUUCUGGAUAAGACCUCACCUUUCCUGACUCCUGGGAUGGAGAAUCUCCUGGACAAAGGCCCCUCCUGGUUGGUGCCCAGCCAAAGACAGGACCCAGCUCUGGAGGACAGCUCAAGGGGUGGGAGGAGGGCUGGCAGCUGGCCGCCCCCUCUGCUUCUCUCUGGCCCCAUCUGCCAGGCCCUCCUCCCCAGGCCUGGAGGCCCCUCCUGACCCCCCGUGGACUUGGUUUCUCCUUGCAGCCCUGCCAGCCAUCAGGCAGAGCUCCGCCUGGGCCAGGACAGGGGCAGGAACGUGGGAUGGGAGUCGGGUAGGAGCUGCAAGUGGGAGGCAGGUCGAUGCAGCCCUGGGGUGCCGUUGGCUGGAGUCUGUCUUGCGCUGUGUGAGUGAUUCUCAUUUUUGUGGGGGAUUCUUGGAUGGGGCCUUUUGGUGCUUCUUUUCUACCUGACAGUCAAAGGGAGAAGGCAGGAUGGGCCUGGGGGUGGGGGGUGGCUGGACCUCUUGCUGGGGUGUGGAGCUCUGGGAGGGGCAGUGAUCCUGAAAGGAGAGCAGUUCUGAGAGAUGAGAGACCCUGCCUGGGGGAGGGUCUUGCAGAAGGAGCCAGACACUGGGCCUUGGUCCUGCCAUCCAAAGGGAAUGUUCUGGAAUUGGCCUCACCUCAAGGCUUGAGAGGUCACCCCAGCUCCAUCUCAGACCCCUGCUCCUUGUCACAAUCCUGUCCUUGGGGAGCAGAGACAGUUAGGGCGGGCUCCACACGCAGGCAGCUUCCCCUGUCACAGAGCUACACCCUCGCUUCCGUGCCCCAUCCCCAUUCUCGCCUCUUCCAGCCCCUCAAGGGUGGCCCGUCCCAGGACUUGCAGGACAACAGGCUUCCUCAGGCAAACUUAAGAGCCUGAUGUCCUUUUCCCAGGGUGGUGAGGGACCUGUAUUAGUCUGCCUGGGCUGCUGUAACAGAAUACUGUGAUUCAGUGGCUAGAACAGCAGAAAUGUAUUUUCUCAGGUUCUAGAGGCUGCAAGUCCCAGAUCAGGGUGCUAGAGAUGGUUUGUCCUGAGGCCUCUCUCCUUGGCUUGCAGAUAGAAACUUCUUGCUCUGUUCGCACAUGGCCUUUUCUCUGUGCAUACACAGGGUGAGAAGGCGAGAGAGAAAGAGAGGGAGAGAGAGAGAGAAAGAGAGGGAGAAAGCAAGGGUGAAGGAGAAAGCGAGGGUAAGAGAGAAAGGGAGAGAGAGAGAAAUAAGGGAGGGAGGAGGAGAAAUAGAUGACUGAAGUCUCUUCCAUUUCCUAUAAGGGCACCAGUCCUGUGGGGUUAGGGCCUCAUUCUUAUGACCUCAUUUAGCUGUAAUGACCUAUGUUAAAGCCUAUCUCCAAAUACAGUCACCUUAGGGGUUACAGCUUCAGCCUAUGAAUUUGAAGCCCGGUGGGGGGACACAGUUCAGCCCAUUGCAGGUGGUCAGAGCAGACAUGGAAAGCUGAAAGGCUCCCCUUCAGAACUCCCGCCCCCUAAUAGGGAGGGGAAGGAGGGGCAGAGGCAGGGGAAGGGCUCUGCUAGGCUGGCCCAGGAGUCUUGGGGAGACAGCAAAUGAACGGGCCCUCGCCCAGAGCAGCGAGGAGGAGCCCCAGGAGAGGGAUGCCUUGGGGAAGGGCAUGGGCUUUGGAGCCCGAGGGUGCGCCCUCUGCUGCACAGCCUUAGGCAAGUCGCCUCACCCCUGGGAGUCCGAUGUUCACUCUGAAACAGGAUUGCUCCCCUGGGGGGCACAGGGAGAAGUCAGUGAAAUCAUGCGCCUGGCUCUUAGUAGGUUUCAGUAAACACUCCCAUCUGUCGGGGAGUUCAGAUGUGGGCUUACCUCUUUUUGGUACUCUGGACUGUAAACUCAGCAUCUUCGGCCCAGAGGCGUUCCUAGCCUGUUUUUCCAUUUGUGUGUUCUUAAUAUUCCUCUCUAAGCAGAUCGAGCAAUCAGCUGCAUUGGCCUGGCCUCCACAGUAACUCCCAAUGCCUCCUUUAAUAUCUACUCCUCUCAUUGGAAGUAAGCGCCUGCUCUGAGCCCUUCCCCGAGCUGCUUACUUGAGGGGAAUGUAAAUGAAGACGUGCUUAUGACUCCAGCCUUCAGGGUUUCACAGCCAUUGGAAGAUGGGGCAGAAAGCAGUCUACUGAGGCACAGGUUCCCAGCGCUUGGGUGGGUGGGAGCAAGACCUCAGGGUAGGCUGGAAGGGCUUCCCAGCAAGGCUGAAUCAGUCAGGACCUUGGAGGAUGAGAAGGAUGUGGCUUAGUUGAGUUUCUAGGGGGACAGAGCACAGACUCCCAAAGUAGGUUCUAGGAGAUGUUAUUGCUCUUUUAAAAAAAUAAAAGUUCAAAUUCAGUAGGUUUCUAUAGUGCAGGACUUAUCAGAGCCUUUAAAAAUGCUGCUAGGAAUUGUGAAUACUCCAGGACAGAGGAUUAAGUGUUUUUCCCCAAACUUUGCUGGCAACAGAACCCUCUCCUUAUGGAGCAUCAUUUAGAACUCUGGAGAGUCUAGGCUAGGGUUUCUGGGGGAAAACUGCAAUUGUGAUAGGAGGUGACAAAACUAGGGCAUACUCAGGUGCUUUGUAGCAUCGGCUGGAAAGGCACUACUUUCCCUGGGAUUGGGGAAUCUGAAUCUGGUUCCAGGGGUCAGGCAAGCUCUGCGCUGUCUUGGGGUGAGGGGAGGCCAGUAGUUGGAGGAGUCAGAGGCCAGGCAGUCUGGGACAGAGGAGCUGUCCACUGGGCAUGGUGGCUCUGGGGCAUCAGAUCCUUCGUGGGAAGAUGCCAGUGUGUGCGUGUGCGUGUGCGUGUGUGUGUGUGUGGCUGAGUGUGACAGAAUCUAGCCUUCCGGGAAUGGGUUGGCCAGAACCAGGCAGGGGGGUUCCCGCCAGAACAAGCAGGGUCCAUUUUCAGGGGAACUGAAGUGUCUGGGGGAGGCUCACAGCAGAGAAGUAGGGAAGCACAACUUCUUUGUAGGGUCUGCGUGGAUAGUCUUGAUUCUGGUGGGGCUGAGGGGCUUGGAGGCAGACCCCCUGCCCUGGUCAGGCCCAGCUCCCUGGCUGAUUGGGGGGCGGGAGGCCUCUGGCGCUGCAGCCGGGCAGUGUUGCAUGGUGUGAUUAACCUACUAACCCAGGGCUCGGCCGGGACGCUGUGGCGUGUGAUGAGGUGCCUGGCCUUCUGCCAACCGACUAACCCACUAACCAGGCCCGAGCAUGCCCUACUAACCCCCCGCAGCCAGACCAUACUAACCUUGCAGCUCGUGGGCCUUCUCAGGGGCUGGGAUGUGGGGGCAGACGAGGCUUCGGAAGGCCCUGCCCUUGGCCUGGGAUCUCUGUGCAGACCCGCAUUCCAGGAUGGGGCGUGCGAGUAGGACUUGCCCACUCUGCCACUUCCUGCUGGGUGACUGUGAGCAAGUCACCUCCCCUCUCUGAACCCCAGUUUCCUCAACAGUAGGAUGGAAGGCCUACUCCCCACCUCACAGGUGGCAGUAAGAAUUCCCAGGACUAUAAAGCUCUUGACACCUGGCAGAUACUUAAUAUAGAUGCAUAUGUAUCAGAGGGUGGGGUGGGAGGGACAGAAAACCUGACCCAUCAUGUGCCCUGGUGGGCCCUGGUCCCUCUGGGUGGUCUGCACACCGACCCCUCUGCCUGGGGCCAGACACUUGCUUUGAACCCCUAACCGUCUCUUCCCCACACUCUUUCUCCUCGUCUUCAGCUUUCUUCCCAUAGGCAGCUCUUAUGUUCACUUACUAACCUGUCUAACCCCAGGGGGCCCUCAACUGCACCCCGAUCACCCCUUAACCAACUAACGGACCCGCGUGUGUUCUUCCUUUUCUCCUAGUGACUCCGUGUGUGUCUGCUGAGGUGCCCCCGUCCGCUGGUGCUGUGCUCUGACUUACUAACCCAGCCCCUACUAACCCUGUUUUCUCUUCUUACUAACCCCAGCCCUGCCGAGCUCUGGGCCUCCCUGGGGGCUGGUCCCCCCUCCUUUUGGCAAGCAGAUGUCCAGGGGCUGGCCCUGUAGACAGGUACCCCACUUUGCUGCCCCCAUUGGCUGUGAGUUCAGCAUCCACCGGGCCAGCUCUGAGGCAGGGGAUGGCCCUAGCUAUCACACCAGCGGUCCAGUGGAAGAGGUGGUCCUGCCGGUGUGGGAGGGAGGCCGGUCUCCGAGCAGAGCAUCUCUCUGCUGCUCAAAAGUCUGGUUGCCAGCGGGAGUGGGCGGGAGCAGGGAAGCCUCUGGGGCCUGCAGGUCUAGCUUGUGGCACACUGGGCUUUUCCCAGCCAAGGGAGCAGAGAGAAGGCGCCUGUGUGUCCUUCUUUGGAGAGAAGCGAGGGUAGAAUUUUCUCCAUUGGAAAGUGGCCUGUAGAGGUGCCCUGCAAUCAAUGGAGGUCACGUCCCACAUGGGCAUCAGAAAGGGGGCGUGUCCAAAGUCAUUCAGGGGAGACUUCCCCAUGUUGGAAGGCCCUGUAAAGGUCUUAGCCACAUAGGGAAUCACUGAGUGGAGCAUUUAGUACAGGAGAUCAGCCAGAGGGGGCAUUUCCCAUAUAUGAAGGAUGGGAAGAGGGGCAUUUCUUACACCAGAGGCCAGUGAGAGGAGAAUUUCUGCCUUAUCACAAGGCACUGAGAAGGAAUGGCCAAAAGAUCUUUCCCAUCCCUGGAGCCAGGAGAUCCGGGUUUCCCACCAUCUACCAGAAGUAGAUGCGGGCCAUUUUUCCCACCAGAAGUCAUUGAGAAGAAUGGUCCACACCAGGACAUUUGAGAAGGCUGGAAAGAAACCAGAUCUUGAGUUCAGGGUUUGCAGGAGGAGGAAGUGGGAAGAAACAAAUGAACCCCAGGGGUCCACAGGGUCCUGCGGCCCCUCAGACCAGCCAGAUAGUCAUCCCUGGCUCCCUGUCCUGUUCACACCCCUGUCCUUACCCCAGCCUGCCAUCCCCAGAGCCCGCCAGCUGCUAAGCCAGGGCCACACCUGGGGGUGAUUUUAUGCCUCACCUCCAGUAGGCACCUCGGUUUCUUUGGGCUAAUCUUUGGCUCCUUUGCACUAACUCUUGCUCUCACCCAGCUAAUCCCUGCCUCGCCCUGGCUGCCCCUGGGGGCUGACCUCUAACAGCCAGCCCUGCCCAGGUGGGGGCUCCAGGCUCCCGGCCUGGCUCUGAUCUGCUCUUAAUUAACCUCUCCUUCACCCGACUAACUCCUGCCCUACUGAUCUGUUCCUUUCAGCAGAAACUAACGGCUUGUGGAUUUCUUUCUGACUAACAACAGGUCUAACACUCCUGGUUACUAUUAACAGCUUGGAUGUCGGCAUGGCUGGGACGGGGCUAACACACAGAGAGCUGGAGCUAGUCGUGUUGGAUGUGGUGACUGCUCUGGGAAGAGCUAUCUGAGUCAGGAAAGAUCUCAGUAUUCAAAAGGAGGUACCAGGGCUGGGAUAUGGCUCAGGCCUAAUGGAGGAGCGGUGUCUACUGAGGUGGGUCAGAAGUGUUGUCAGCCUUCCAAAGUUUUGGCCACUGGACAUAUCCUAUUGACCCCAUAUAAUCUACAUUUGAGUUAUGGGUCUUUGAAACAAUAGCUUGAGAGUUUCAAUGGUCCAUACGAGUGGAUGCAGCUUUUAUAGUCCUAAGAGUGCCUAUGUGGUAUGUACAGAGGAUGUGCCAUUGUGUAUGGAAUUGUCAGUCACCAGGCCAGGACCUAGAGUCCUUGAUUUGGGGACUUUGGAGUUUUGGAAGCCCUAGGGCAUAAAACUUUAGAUUGGAAUUGUUAGGAGGGUUAUAAAUCCAACACCCAUUGACACUUUAGUUCUAAAUAGUUCAGCUUUCUCUUCUAACUUCUGUUCAAUUUAGCUGCCCUGAGGUCAUGAGAAUUUGGCUGGAAGAAAGUUUGGUUGUCUUUGGGGCUGAGAGAGGAGAGAGAAGCCACAGGGUCAGGGUUCCUGGCGGGGGGUGGGAAACCAGGCUUCAGGUCGUCGAAGGCUUGGGAAGAGGGGCCGGUUUUGCUGGCUCAGUCUGGUGGUCAGGCAAGGACACUCACGGCAAGGACUAGAGAAUUGGAAGCUCAGGGAUGGGCUCAGAGGCCUGCCCCAAGGCCUUGCAGGAAGGUUGCUUGGGUCACUGAAUACUACUCUGGGGGUGAGAGCCUCUCUGACAGCCAAGGACUCAGAGCUAAUCUAGUGGCGCUAGCAGUGAGGCCUGAAGGGCGACCCAGAGGACUGAAAUGCAGAGAGAAGAAGCGCGGGGGAGGCGGGGGGAAUGCAUUAGGAAGCGGCUUCUGACAGUGGCUCAGCUGCUGGCGGGGCCCCGGGAAGGGGUGGAGCCUGAGCUGGGGAGGCGCGUGUCUGCUGCCCUCUAGUGGCCGCUUUUCCCCAUGUCACUGGAAGCCUUUCCCAUUUCAGGGAACUCUUUAUUCAACUACAAAGAUGCUGCUGCUGAGGACCUACUAUGUGCCCAGCACUGCUCUGGGGCUGGGACCCACACACACGGGCUUUCCCAUCACAGUGCUUCUCUAGCUCAGUGGGGGAGGUGGAGAAAUACAGGUGACGCAGUGGGAUGGGUGCCAUGACAGGGAUGGUGGGGGCGGUGGAAACAUACCCCCCCCCCCAGCCAGAUGAGGAUGAUAGGCACCCUCUGCAUGCAGGGCGCAGUACUAGGCACUGGGGAUGAGUGGUGAUUAAACAUCAUUAUCACCUUCAGGAACUUUAAUGCCAGUGUGUGGAGUGGGUGUGGGGUAGAGUGGGGUGUGGACAGGCAGGGUAGAUCUUCUGAAAAGGAAGACAUCUAAGCCAAGCCCUGGCUGGCUGGGCAGAGUCCAGUGGGGAUGAGUUCCGGGCAGAGGGAAUGGUGGGCACAAAGUUCCAGGGGUCAGAGAGAAUCGAAGGAGUUCUGGGAGGAUGGGGCGGGGAGGGGAGUGGAGCAGAAGACGACAGAAAAUGGACAAGUACCAGAUUAUGUCGCCAGGGAAUUUAUCCUAAGGGCAGUGGCAGGCCAUGGAUGUGAUCUGGGGGGCGGGGGGGAGAUGGCAGAGGUGAGACUUAGGCUGACAGUUUGGCUAUUUCAGCCCAGGUGGAGUUCUGAGGAACUUACAGUGAAUUUUGGCCACAUUUUAGAAAACUGGUUAGAACUUUUUUUUUUUUUUUUCCAUUUUUCUUUGGUUAGAAUUUCUUGAAAGGAGGACUCUCAGGUCCACCUUAAGAUAAAUGGGAUCUAUGAGCACUCGCCCCAGGUGGAGGUAGUCUUGCACUGACUGUUCCUGGAAGUGUGCAGGAGGGCCUCCUCAACUUUGGGACAGGGAGUGCAUUGGCCCUGUGUGGCUGUGAGGGGGGACAUGCAGGCCUGGAGUUUCCUUCUGAAAGGCUGGUCUCAGGGAGGGAGAAAUGUGUCUCAGUGGGUAACAAACCUUCUGGAGGCAGAAGGAAUGGGCUGGGCUACUUUUGAGAUGAGACGGACGAUGGUGGGGGGAGGGUUUUAGGAUUCUGACUGAGUGUGCAAGUGUGUGUGUGUGUGUCUUUGACUUAAUACCAGAGGAAGCCGACUCUGUUCUCCACCUCUCACCCCGGCCUGCUGGUGCUCACUCUGGCCCCACAGAACCUGAAGCUUGUUAGGAGCAGGACCUCCCGAGCUGGCUUCUCAGUCCCAAGAGGUGGCUUAAUCCUUUAGUAGGUGGCGUGAAGGGAGGCAGCCACAGUGGUCCCUGCCUGGGGCUGUGCUGGUAUAUGGAGCUGGAGGGCUGGUUCCAUUCCAACAAAAGACCCCAGGAGCCCUUUUGAGAGUCCAUCUGGGGUCCCACUGUUUUCCUUCACUAGACCAGAGAAGACACUUUCCAUGUCACUGCCUCCUGGGAUGCUAGGUGUGGGGACAGAAGUUCCACUGAUUAAAAAGAACAUUUUUACAUGGAUCCAGCAAUGGUGUGUGAACCUACCCUUUUGUUUUCAGCCAUGAAUGUAGCUUCUUUUGUUUAAAAUUUUAAGAUUAAUAAACCAAUUCACAUCCAAAGGAUGGCUGUGGCUUAGGAGGCAGAGGGAUGUGCGAUUUGGGGGGUGGAGACCCAGUGGCAUUUUCAAGGAACAGGGGUGGGCUCUGCCAGCCUUUUCUCAAGACCAUGGUGUUAAUAGUCAAUGCAAUAGGUUAUUUAUUUUCAUUUGCUAUUGUGCGAAAACACACAGAACCAAACUGACCAUCUUAACCAUUUUAAAGUAUAUAAUUCAGUGGUAUGAAGUAAGUUCACAUCGUUGUGCAACUAUCACCACUCUUGCUAAUUUUUUUUUUUUUUUUUUUUUGCUUUUUAGAGCUGCACCCAUGGCAUAUGGAGGUUUCCAGGCUAGGGGUCCAAUCAGAGCUGUAGCCACCGGCCUAUACCACAGCCACCACAACACGGGAUCGGAGACGUGUCUGUGACCUACAUUACAGCUCACGGCAAUAACAGAUCCUUAACCCACUGAGCAAGGCCAGGGAUCAAACCUGCAUCCUUCUGGAUACUAGUUGGGUUUGUUAACCACUGAGCCAUGAUGGGAACUCUUUUUUUUUUUUUUUUUUUCCCAAUAGCACUACUUUGUGCCUAGGACACUGUGGCAGAGAAAAGCCAUGUCUCUUCUCAGCUUCUCUCUCCUGCCUCCUUCCUUCUCUUCCUCCAUCCACGUAGAAAUGGUUUACCCAGCAUUGCCCUCCUCUCUGGGACCUGCCUUUCUGUUCCCCUAAUGCAGCCAUCUCAUUCUCUCCUAAGGACCUUUGCACUGGCUGUUCCCUUUGCCUGGAACAUAUGUCGCUAGGCUUUUUGCGUGGCUGACUUUUCUGUGACCCUCAGCUCUCAGCUGAAUGCCACCUCCUCAGAGAUGUCUCCCCUGAUCACCAUUAAAGUGUUUGUCGCUUUAAUUCUCAAACAUUUUGGUCCUGGACCCCUUUAUACUCUUACCAUGUAAUAAACAAUCAUCCCUGAGUCCGCCUGGGCACUGCCCGCUUGCAAGGUUCAACUGACUCCCCAUUUCAUUCACCAAAAUCUCCUAUCCCUGUACUCUGCAUGAAGCAUUGUGUUGGGGGCCCAAGGCACAGCCAGAAGCUGCUUUUGUGAGGCUCACAGUCCAGGGCAGGUAGCUGUACUAAGCUAAGGACAGGGACCUCACAGGGAGAAAAACUAAGAGGGAGGAAUCAGCACAGAGUGAGUCUCCCUUGUUAGACAUUAGAACUGAGAUGUUUUAGAAAGAUGCGUUUAUCAAUUCAUUACCAUAUUAGAAAUGAAAACUGAAGCUUUUAAAAAGACUUGUAUUAUUCAUUCAUUGAAAAAAAUGACAAUAUUGCAUGCCAACAUAAAUAAUUAUUUAUGAAAAGUAAUAGUUUCCAAAACAAAUUUAGUGAGAAAACUGCAUAUGAUUUUUUUUGGGGGGGUGAAUUUCUUUAAUGUCUGGCUUAAUAGACAACAGAGUCUGUUGGAUUCCAGUAUCUACUUCUGCAUUCAGUCUCUUGCGAUAUCUCGUCUCUGUCAUCUCUGAAAAACUCUGUGUGCUUGCUAGGGGAUGAGCUGAAACCUACAAGUUAAUUUCCCUCUAGGUCCCCAGAUCUCAGGAAUGUACCAUGAGAACUGCUGCUCUAUUCCCCAAACCAGAGUAUUUUUUGAUUAAAAGUUGUGCCCAUCUGAAA